AAUUGGUGGGGAGAAGGAGGGAAGGGAGGAGAGAGGCUAAUUCUCUCUGUAUCGGAUUACUGUCUCUCUAGGAAGAGUCUAGGAGGGGGAGAGAGAGGGAGGGAGGA